AUCUAGCUGACGGGUCCCGAAUAGGACGAAAUGUGCAUCCUGGAU
rnacentral:hammerhead_ribozyme from 1 species